AGUUCUUCCCUGACAUCAGCUGUCUGGAACGGCUCCCAGCCCUGGCCUUUCAGCUCACUGUGGUGCAUGAAUGACCAAAUUCCACCUGACCUUCAGCCGUGUUCUCCUGCCCAGCGGUUGGGGAACAGGGGUCUGAUUUAGGAUUUUCGGAGACCAGCUCCAUCCUGCAGUUACCUUGGGGGACUUGCUGAUUUGCUGAAGCUGUCAGAGUGCAUUCCAGCAAACUUCUGAGCAGGAGAGAUGAGGGAUGCAGACACAGUGUCUUCUAGAGCCCAGCGUGGACCCCAGCAACUCCAUUCAUGGGACAAACAGGGCUUCGCUUUCCACAAGGAUUCUAGGAGAGUUUGUGAAUUUCCAAGCAGGAAGCUUAGCCUACUCCAUGGAGGGACACAGGAGUGGCAGGGGAGUCGGGAAAAGCUGCCUUCUCCCUCAGCAAUGGCUUUGCUACAGAUGUUCUUUUCUCUGCUUAAAUAAAAACCAACGAACACAGCAACCUUCGGAUUUUAGAGCACCACACCAAGCCCUUCCUGUGAAAUCAGGAAUACAGGCAAACGUCAACCCUGACAACAGGAAUCCGCUUCCCAAUCUGGAAGGGACAGGGCCCACUGUACACAGCAAACGUACACGUUUCUGACUCUAAAACUGGAAUGUGCAUGCUGGAGAGAGUCUAAAAAUUGCCACAAAAGAAUGAAGAAAGUGGAAUAAAAAUAAAUUAAAAUCCCACCACAAAGAGAUUUAA